AGAUCAACAACAAAGAGGGCACCCCUUCUCCUAAAGAAAAACAAAAAGCGGUGCUCUUGAACGAAAAUCAGAACGAUCCCCUUUCAGCUGAAGAAGCUAACGUAGCGUUUCCCCUCCCCCAUCUUCAUCAUCCUCUUUCCAUCAAAUUAAAAAGAAAAUACACAAGAGAAAUGGUUAGAUUCAAAGAAAAGGAACAAAAAAAAAAGGUUUAAAGGCCAUUCGAACUUUUGCUCUUUUAUUUCAAUUUUCUGGAUUUUCGAGUGGUAUUGGGGCUGUAAGAAUUGCUGUUUGCUGCUGUGUUUGUUGAUUCCGCUGUUGCCGAGCUACAAGCUUGUCGAUUCCAACUUUUGGUUGCUUUCUUCUAUUCUAAAACUGAACCUUGUGCGCGGCGAGGUACAAUAAUGGCAAACAACAAUGAUCAACUAGGAAACAUGCCUUUGGGGGAUGUGGACGUUGAUGAUGACCAAGUUGAGGAGGUUCCUCUUGAACCUCAAGCAAAUAGUAAAGGCCGGCCACCUCAAGACAAUGUCCCAGUUCCACCCCCGCCUCCACCAAGAGCAGCUCCACACCGGGUGUUGCCGAAUGAAUGUUAUGCAAGUGCCAUAGUCUCGUCCCGUAUUAGUGCGGGAAACUUUCAAAUCGAAAUGAAAUGCUCAUACUGCUAGAGCAACGAGGAUACUUCACCGGGGCUCCAAGUCAAAAUGCAUACAAACACUUGAAGGGGUUUAUUGAAACACCUCAAAAUUUUAAUAAUAUUUGCAUUCUUGAUUGAGCAUUUUUAUAACGAGGAGAUAUUUUACUUUGCACUUCUUAAACGUGAAAUUGACAAUAUAUGAAAAUUUCUUA